UUAGACCCCCCCUCCCCGAAAAAAAAAAAUAGGUAACACAAACUCCCCAAAGGCAGCAGCUCUCCGCACGCGCGCUUUCUUUAUUUCACACAAGUGCGCGUGUGAGGCUUCGUCGAGUACGCAUUCCUUGACUAAAGCCGGUGCGCUCAACUCUAUCCAACAUCCCUACCUCCACUUCCGUUGCCGUAAUCCGUUUCUGAUAGAGCAUUUCUUCCUGUGCGUGGCCCCUGGCGGAAACAAGGACGCUGCAAUUCGUGAGAGCAGAUAAGAAUCACCGGAGCGCCAUAACACACGCGCUCGAGCAAGGGACCGCGUCAUUGUUUGGAGCCGGCUACCGUUCGUGAGCAGGCGCGUACGCACACCACCUCCUCCUCUACACCUAUUCAUACACACCGGGUCGUUCUCACGGCGGUGUGUAUACGUCAUUGCCGCUGUUUUACUAUACACAGCCACCGUGAGUGAUUUGUACGAACGUCUCGUUGCUCUUUUUUUUAGAUUUCGUAGUUUGUGUUUUCUUGUCGUUGUUUUGCCGAUUGCUUCUUACCUCCUCCUCCUCCACUGUCUGCCUCCUGGCGUCGUUCCUUUUCUUUUGUCUCUGUUUUUUUUUCUUUUUUUUUCGUAUGGGUGCCUGUGCUCUUCUCUGCCGUCUUUUGAGUUCUCUGCCGUGUCCACUCAACCGUCUUCGCCGUUUCCCCAGGAGCCCACCUCUUCCCAAAGUGCACACUCGAAUCUGAUCGACUCCCGCGUGCCGCGUGGCGACUCCAUCGUUUCUUUUAUUGUUAUUAGUAUUAUUAUGUAUUUUUCGCGUGUUUCUCAUCCCAAAACCGUCCGCAUUGACUGUGCGUCUGUCUUCCUUGAUCGGUGUCGCGCACCCUUUCAGGCUGUCCUUCACCCUUUAUACUGCACAUCUUAUUUGUGCUUCAUGCUGCUGUGCGCGUGUGUGUGCGUGUGCGUGCUGCGGCUGACCUUCUCUGGUGACUGAUUCCACGCCCUUCUCCUAUUCAUCCCCUCCGCGAUCCCUCCUCAUUCUUGUUCGCCUCUCCGUUUUCCUCAUUCCGGAAGGUCAGUGAUCGACAGUGCAGUCCAAGUACGCAUAGCGUCUGCUCACGUUUACGGUCUCUGGACCCAUCAGCGUAUAGACGGUUGCUGCGUAUAGAACGACUUGUAGGGAACAACACGGAAUAGAGCAAGAGAGCACAAACUAACGAGAGCGGAGAGGGAAAGCCGGAAAAAAAAAAAGGAUAGCAUAUACUCCACUAAAACGUCUACAGCCGUUCGGUGUUGGCCCGCUGCGCUCUCCUUCCCUCUCCCUUUCCCUUCCAAGGGGCUCCUACGCGCGUGUGCUUGUGUGUGCGUGCCUGUCUAAUUUUUUUUUUCCCGUUUUGCCGUCUUUGUAUCUUUCCCUUUUCUUUGGGUGUUUUGUUUCACGUGACGCAUUCUCUCCCCCACUUCUCUCUCUUUGCUCUUCUUAUCAUUGUUCUCAUCGGAUAUCUGCCACGAAGCCGUACUUGUGCCCGCCUCGGGCUCCGCUUCUCUGGUCGUGUGGUGCACAGCCACACACCCACACCUCCGUACAACGCGCUCGCAAUACAUGACUCUUUUCCAACAACGACAACAAAAAAAAACGCCACUGCUGUUUGUCCUCUCGCUGCUUGGUGCUUUCUCUUUCCUGUUUUAUUUUGGUUGCAUGGUAUGUGUGCACGGCGCCUCUUUAGUCUCCUUUUUUCGUUGUUUCCGUUGCUCUCCUCCUCCUGCGCCCCGAAUCUGAUUCCGCGACAUUAUUUUUUUUUUUUUCGUGUGUGUGUGUGUGUUUGUGUGUCAUUGCUGUUUCCGCUGUCCUCGUCGCCCCCCCUCCUUCUCUCUCUCUGGUUUCGUUUUUCUUUCGUACAUUUUCUUCGACUUGAUUCCAUCUUGGAUUGGGUGCUGCUGUUGCCUUUGAUUUCCUUUUUGUUUCUGCUAGUGGUGCGCGCGUAGGCAGGAUUACAACCUUUCCCUCCCGCUCUCGCGUGCGCUGGUAUAGUCCAUUGAUCUGGACGCCGCGUGCUGGCGAUCCCAGCCACUCUUCGAGUAGACUUCCUGAGAUACGAAAUCGAAAAGCGUGGCGCAUGAUGGCGGACGGCUACCACAACAAGCCCGCUGCCCCCAAGGUGGGCCAGCGCUUUGGCCCCUAUCAGGUCGGCGACACCAUCGGCCGUGGCACCUUCGCCAAAGUAAAGAUUGGCUACCACGAAACGACCAAGGUCCGCGUAGCGCUCAAGAUUAUAUCACGCAAGCUGAUGGAAAGCGACGCGCGUUCGGCGCUGAAGAUCAAGCGCGAGAUCAAGAUCAUGCGGGUGCUGCGCCACCCGCACAUCACUCGGCUCUACGACGUUGUCAAGACGAAGCACGACAUUGUGCUGGUCAUGGAGUACGUGUCUGGCGGCGAGCUGUUUGACUACGUUACCUGCAAAGGUCGACUAGAGGAGCCGACUGCGCGCGCCCUAUUUCAGCAGCUUACCGCCGCUGUCGCCUACUGCCAUCGCUACCGGGUCACACAUCGCGACAUCAAGCCAGAGAACAUCAUGAUGGAGCACGGGUGCCACAGCGUGAAGUUGAGCGACUUCGGGCUGUCCUCCAUCACUCAUGACGGUCGCUUCUUCGAGACGAGCUGCGGCACACCCAACUACGCGUCCCCGGAAGUGGUAAGCGGGCGGCUCUACGGCGGCCCGGAGGCGGAUGUGUGGAGCUGUGGCGUCGUGCUCUAUGCCAUGCUCUGCGGCACUCUGCCAUUCGACGACAGCAACAUUGCUCUCCUUUUCAAGAAGAUCCAGACUGCGGACUACGCCAUCCCUAGCCACGUCUCCGCGCAGGCACGAGACCUGCUGCACCGCGUGCUGGUCGUGAACCCGCUGGAGCGCGCCACCAUGGAGCAGGUGAUGCAGCACCCGUGGCUGCGGCCCGACUUUCCCCGUUAUCUGCUCUCGUUGCACUUCGCCGCUAUCGUGGAGACGACGCGCUUCGCGAGCACCUACUAUCUCACGGAGGACAUGUUGGAUGAGGAGGUGGUGCGCGUCGUCGCCUCCCGCUUCCGUGUCUCUCCGCAGGAGGUGGCGUCGAUCAUUAUGUCGGAGGAGGAGCGCAUCCCGUCGAUGCGGGCCGUCAUUAGCGAUGAGGACAACCCGAACUCCAUGGCGCGCCGCUACCCCGCCGCGAACUACUUUGAGAUGUACUCAAACGUGUUAGACUCGAAACUGUGGCCCACGCCGGUGGAGAUCGCCGCGGCCGAGGUGGCCCUUCGCGACGAGGCUCAUGACAUCUACGUUUCCUAUGUCAUUCUGACGCAGAAGAAGCAGAACAAGCUGGCUCCGCAAGAGCAUGCCGCAAACCCAUCGUUUGGAGAGAGUGCCAACUCCCUCCUUCAGUCGCAGGCCCAGCAGGGCUAUGGCUCCCUCAACGCAAACUCGCUGCAGCAGCUCACCGGCAACAGCAGCUUCACCGGCCUCAGCUUCAAGGAGACGAGCUCGAGAUCGCACGCGGACGCCAGCUCGUCGCCAGCAUCGAAGAAAUCGAACCACCAUAACGGUAAGAUGCUUCAGCAUCUAUCGUCGCCGUUGCAGCACAUCAUGAACUCGACCGUGCCGGCGGCCCCUCCUGGGGACCCGUGGCAGUCGGGCUACAACGUCAUCGCGGCGCCGUUUCUCCCACUCCACGCGAAAGGUGCCACCGGCACCGUACUGGGACAGCUCCUACGCGUGCAGGAGCUCCCGGUGCAGCUGCUUAUGUCUCGAAGAAUCACGGUGAAGCCUGUCAAGAAAGAAGCAUCAAGCACGAUGUUUUUGUCGCCCGGGCUUCCGAAAUCAACACCUGGUUUUGACUGCAUCAGCGACACCGGCGAUGCGCCAACCUCGAUGCCAACGGCUCCGCAAGGCAAUCUGCUGCAGCCGCAGCGAUCCCCCACGACGAGGACGAGAUCGGCGGCACCAACUCUGCUACAUCCGCACUCGAAGGUUGAGGUGGGUCUUAGCGACCCCCACUCGCCGAUCCCGACCGGCAGGCCAAUGAGGAGCAUCGGCGCCGACGCGCGGCACAACUUGGCCACCGCGGGCGGCGAGACAGCGCUGGACACGUUGUAUCAUGCAGAGACAGUAACACGCUUCGGCAACGACUUUAUUCGCAAUGGCGUAGCGUUUGUGAACUCCACCAGUCACGAGACACUGCAGGAGGUGUACGAGGCCAUGAAGGAGGAGGGGCUGCUCUGGAAGGUCAUCUACGACUACUACUUCUCCGUCGUGCGCUACCCAAACAUCAAGCUGCAGGUGAAGGUGUACAAGACCAAGUCGGAUGAGCAAUUGGUGGACGUCAAGGUGUCCGCGCAAAGCGGGAUGGCCGCGUAUGACGUGGCGCUGUCGUUGUUAGAGCGGCUGCGCACCCGUGCCGUUAACAAGCGCAAUACGCAGAUUCGUGAAAGCCAUGCAAGCGCCCUCACGCCGGAUACCACUUGAGCGCCUCCGCUUAUUCCCUUUCUCUCCGCAUGAGCAGCAGAGCAGUGUAGACCCGCUCUAGUGUCAAAAUAAAAACAAAACGGGAAAGAAAACGAGGAGGUCCACCUGAUUGCCCUUACGCGAAGGCCGGCCAUCUGUUGCGCGGGUAUCGUCUUGUGCUCCGAUACAACAGUUGUCAAAACACCUCUGUCGGCGACUUGUCACCGCCUCAUGCACGUCUUUCCUUCCCUUUUUUUCUCUCGUUGCCCAAGCGAUGUAGGGAGCGGAAGAAGGUAGAGAGAGGGAGCAGCUGAUUCUGGCACCUUGUUCUUCCCUCGACUACAGCUUGCCAUUGUGUGUGCGCGUGUGUGUAUCCCCUGAGCCCGUGGCCGGGGGGGGGACUCUACCUCCCCCUUUCUGUUAUGCUUGCUGGGACGGUGGAAUCAUCCCUUUCGCGCCAUGUGACGGGCCGGGUUGAGUUAAACUCAUGCUCUAUGGUAGAAAUGGGAACACCUCGAGAACGACAAAAAAAAACAAAACAAACACAAAAUGGAUCCAACCCCCCGCCACCCCCUCUAUCUGGGUUUUCCUGCAUAGAGUGCUCGCCUAUGUGUUUAUUGCGUGCACUUACCUUCCAGUUGCUCUCCGUGGAUCCGUUGAUCUCCUCUGCAACCCCGUUCUUUCAUCCUCUUCGUGCUGUUGUUGUACAUUGGUGAGACAUCUUGUGUGUGUGUGUGCGGCUCUUUUUUUUUUCGAAUUUCAGUGGUACCGGUUCUUUUUUUUUGUGGAAGUGAAUAUGUGCGUUCCUAGUGCGAGCAAUACCGCCGUUUCGAUGCAGAGCGCGCGGAGAGCGAGCGAGCCACCACACGCACCUGCUCGGCGUAGCGAGUACUGUGGUUGAAAGGGUGAGACAGGCUACACUGAGUGUCCUGAGAACUAACGUGAGCUCUCAAAAAAGAAAUGAAGCCAACUGGUUAAUGGGAAUCAAACAAAAACCCCUCCCCUCCCCCCACAAAAAAAAAUCGUGGCACAGUGUGGGCAAUAUGCAGCAUUGUUAGUACUGGUAGCUGUGUGCGUGUGUGCAAGUAUUGGAGGGCGGUGGAGGGCACAUCUGCUGCACCACACAUCACCAGCAGCUCUACAUCACGUACCCAUGAAGCGUUGCUGAUUGAAGUGCGGUGUGGCGCCACAAUCUCGAUGCCAUCUUACCCGAUUCAGGGCAUGGAUAGAUGGCACUGCCACACCCGUGUCAUCUAAAUGUUGUUUGCUGCUUUUCUGUUUACGUCCUCUCCGCUUUUGCUGCAUCUGUCUCUGUAUCUCUUGCCUCCCGCUCUUUGUUUUACGUGGUCGCCCACGGUGGCGCGCACAG
rnacentral:misc_RNA from 1 species